rnacentral:rRNA from 1 species
UGGGGAAUAUUGCGCAAUGGGCGAAAGCCUGACGCAGCAACGCCGCGUGAGGGAUGAAGGCCUUUGGGUCGUAAACCUCUGUCAAAUGGGAAGAAUUCUGACGGUACCAUUAGAGGAAGCACCGGCUAACUACGUGCCAGCAGCCGCGGUAAUACGUAGGGUGCGAGCGUUGUUCGGAAUUACUGGGCGUAAAGGGCGCGCAGGCGGAAUAGCAAGUCGGAGGUGAAAGCCCGGGGCUCAACCCCGGAGGGUCUUUCGAAACUGCUAAUCUAGAGAGGGUCAGGGGCCAGCAGAAUUCCUGGUGUAGAGGUGAAAUUCGUAGAUAUCAGGAGGAAUACCGGUGGCGAAAGCGGCUGGCUGGGACCACUCUGACGCUGAGGCGCGAAAGCGUGGGGAGCAAACAGG